UACGGGGGGGGCAAGCGUUGUUCGGAAUUACUGGGCGUAAAGGGCUCGUAGGCGGCCAACUAAGUCAGACGUGAAAUCCCUCGGCUUAACCGGGGAACUGCGUCUGAUACUGGAUGGCUGGAGUUUGGGAGAGGGAUGCGGAAUUCCAGGUGUAGCGGUGAAAUGCUUAGAUAUGACAUAGAACACCAAUUGCGAAGGCAGCUGGCUACGCGAAUAUUGACACUGAUGCACGAAAGCGUGGGGAUCAAACAGG
rnacentral:rRNA from 1 species